UACGUAGGGGGCAAGCGUUGUCCGGAUUUAUUGGGCGUAAAGAGCGUGUAGGCGGCUUGGAAGGUCAGCUGUGAAAACUCGAGGCUCAACCUCGAGACGUCGGUUGAAACCACCUGGCUAGAGUCCGGAAGAGGAGAGUGGAAUUCCCGGUGUAGCGGUGAAAUGCGCAGAUAUCGGGAAGAACACCCGUGGCGAAGGCGGCUCGCUGGAACGGUACUGACGCUGAGGCGCGAAAGCGUGGGGAGCGAACAGG
rnacentral:rRNA from 1 species